rnacentral:lncRNA from 1 species
UGGGGUCAUAACCACUUCAAGAGUCACAAGUUUGGGAAAAUAUCAAUUCCCUAUUUCAUUCACCAUACCCAUGAACCAACAUGUUCAAACCAUAUUUAAAGCAUAGAAAUCAUAUAUAUAAGCUAUGAGAAACUUUAUUCAAUUUAUAACAUCCAAAACUCCCAACCUUGGUUUUCAAAACCAAAAUAAUAAUCUCAUGAACAAUACUUU